GUGUGAUGUCAUUCAGACUGACCAGGGAACAUUAAGUCUGGAGGUGACAGUUCUCUGCAAGUGCAGUGUGCUGGGUCAACCCGUGUUGCAGUAGAAUCUCCAUGAGUUCCAGGCCAGCCUGGUCCACAUAGUGAGUUCCAGGACAUCCAGGGCUACAUAGAGAAAUCCUGUCUCCAAAGAAAAAGAGGAAAAAUAUACCAGAGAACAAAUGAGAACACAAUGACGGAGUCUCGGUCCUUAUGAGGUGGGUAGUUCCAUUAGGCAAAGGUCCCCUCCCUCCCUGAGGUAACUGUUAGAACUCAGUGUGUUUGUAUUCAGUGAUCUGAGUCGAGCUGUGGAUGCAAGCAGCUUAGAAACAAGCAGAAGGAAUGAGAAUGGACAUCAGAAGAUAGAGUUCAGAAGACAGGAAAGGAAGGAAAGCACUGCAUUUUAUAAACGCUAUGAUCUUAUGUCUCUGCUUCGUUUGAAAAGAUAGGUGUUUUCUAAGUGAACUGGGUAGUUAUUAUUUGUGUCCUUCCAUGGACUAGUAAGUGCUAACUCUUUGUAGCUUACAUGGUGUAAAGAUGUUUUGCAAAGAUCAUACCCACCCCUCCCUCUCAAAAAAACUCCUUUAGGCAACCGAACAAAACUGGAUGAAAGUCAGCACAGCAAAAGCCAACUGCAACAUCAGAAAAUGUUUUCUAAUGCUGGGUCUAUUAGGUCCUGGAGUAAUCUCCACAGGAGGAGGUGAAGGCUGUAUUCGAGGAGAGACGUCAAACCUCAGUGAAAAUUUUGGUUGAAGCCAUAAACAAGGCGGAUGUUGGCAGCAGAUGAAGGCCGAGGCCUUGGGAACAUUACCAGGUUCUAACAAUUGCAGAAGCGCGAUGAAGGAGGAAAUCUCCCAGUCCACUGCUGUGUGCUGAAAGUACAGCUUCGAAGAAUUGGUUUGCUUUCCAAGAAAACAAAAUCAAUUUAAUCUUCAAGAAUAUGGCUUCCUACAGGGACCAACUCUAGGAGGAAGAAUGGUUCAGCAGUGAAAUGCAAUAGGUGCAGGCCUGUUGUAAUUAGAAUUCAUCUAGCUGUUCCAAGAUUCUCAAUUAAAGUAACCAUUCAAGACGGUUUGGAGCUUCCACUCACAGUUAAUGAGCACACAGUAGGUAGACCUGACGCCUAUUGUGAUGCUGUUUGCCUUGCAGCUCUGUCCUUCCCAGGUUUCUCCAGCACCGCGUCCUUCUUCCUUGGAUCUUUUGCUAAAUGCAUUUGGAGAAUUGGUCAGCUUCAUGCUUUCCUAUGGAAAGCCAUAGGAAGCCUUCAGGGGUGAAAACAACCAAAUGAAAAAGGCCUCGUUAGCUUCCUGCUCAAGCUGACCAGCCUGCAAAUAGCUCACUUGGUGCUGGAAGUUAUGUGGAUGGGAACAGAGGAGUCUUGGGACAACAGGCACACAUCCCUGUGGUGAACUGGUACCAGACGCUGGCAGCUGCAGAGUGACAAAGGAGACCAUGCCCCGUUCUUGUCUCAUUCAUCAGUUUUGACAUGUGAUGUCCUGACUCCCUGAACAUUCAUCAAAGGAGACAAAUCACAUUGAAUAUCAGCUUUGUCGGAAUGACUGAGUCAUCUAUUCAUUUAAUUUAGCCCACCUCUUUCUGUUCCCAUUAUGUUCAUCUCAAUGCUGUAUGCAUCACAUAUUGAUUCUAAAAGUGGCCCCUGAUAUGUUUGUCUUCUUUGGUUUUGUCAAGAUCACCAAGCAAAGUCAUGGCAAGUGGCUCUAAGAGAGUUUUUGCACAAUGGAGAGAAAUCCCCGAGAGAACAUUUCACCAGUUCAGCUUUGGGCAAACAUGAAGAACAUCGUCUGCCUAUGGCGUGGCCAGAACUUGCUGAUGCUUUUGUCUGUCUUCUUCAGAGAUGCAGAGAGCACAGGGAGCAGACUGCUCAGUGUUGCCCGUGGAUGAGGAAGGGAGCGGACUGCUCAGUGUUGCCCGUGGAUGAGGAAGGGAGCGGACUGCUCAGUGUUGCCCAUGGAUGUGGUACCCUAGCUCUGUGAGGUCGUUUCCCUAGUGUAUGCGGCAGUGGUUCUCAACCUUGCUAACGCAGAGACCCUUGAAUGCAGUUUCU
rnacentral:lncRNA from 1 species